rnacentral:rRNA from 1 species
UGACGUCAAAUCAUCAUGCCCCUUAUGACCUGGGCUACACACGUGCUACAAUGGGCGGUACAAAGGGUCGCGAACCGCAGGGGGAGCCAAUCCCAAAAAGCCGCUCUCAGUUCGGAUUGCAGGCUGCAACUCGCCUGCAUGAAGCCGGAAUCGCUAGUAAUCGCGGAUCAGCAUGCCGCGGUGAAUACGUUCCCGGGCCUUC